rnacentral:tRNA from 1 species
UGAUGUGGCUCAGUAGGUAGAGCGUCGCCUUGGUAAGGCGGAGGUCACGGGUUCGAAUCCCGUCAUCA